rnacentral:misc_RNA from 1 species
AAGGAUCAUUAUCAAAACAGCGGCCUUCGGGCCUCGCUGCACCCUUGUCUUUUGCGCACCGUAUUGUUUCCUCGGCGGGCUUGCCUGCCGGUUGGACAUCAUAAAACCUUUUUGUAGUUGCAAUCAGCGUCAGAAAAACAAUAAUUAUUACAACUUUCAACAACGGAUCUCUUGGUUCUG